UGGGGAAUAUUGGACAAUGGGCGCAAGCCUGAUCCAGCCAUGCCGCGUGUGUGAAGAAGGCCUUUUGGUUGUAAAGCACUUUAAGCGAGGAGGAGUCUACUUGGAUUAAUACUCUAGGAUAGUGGACGUUACUCGCAGAAUAAGCACCGGCUAACUCUGUGCCAGCAGCCGCGGUAAUACAGCGGGUGCGAGCGUUAAUCGGAUUUACUGGGCGUAAAGCGUGAGUAGGCGGCUUCUUAAGUCGGAUGUGAAAUCCCUGAGCUUAACUUAGGAAUUGCAUUCGAUACUGGGAAGCUAGAGUAUGGGAGAGGAUGGUAGAAUUCCAGGUGUAGCGAUGAAAUGCGUAGAGAUCUGGAGGAAUACCGAUGGCGAAGGCAGCCAUCUGGCCUAAUACUGACGCGGAGGUACGAAAGCAUGGGGAGCAAACAGG
rnacentral:rRNA from 1 species